UACAGAGGUGGCAAGCGUUGCUCGGUAUCACUGGGCUUAAAGGGCGCGUAGGCGGUGCGGUACGGUUUCGGUGAAAUCCCUCGGCCCAACCGAGGAACAGCCGGGGCUACGGCCGCGCUCGACGGCAUCAGGGGACAGUGGAACUCCCGGUGGAGCGGUGAAAUGCGUAGAUAUCGCUUGGAACGCCGACGGUGAAAACAGCUCGCUGGGGGUGUGCUGACGCUGAGACACGAAAGCCAGGGGAGCGAACGGG
rnacentral:rRNA from 1 species